rnacentral:rRNA from 1 species
UACGGGGGGGGCAAGCGUUGUUCGGAAUUACUGGGCGUAAAGGGUUCGUAGGUGGCUUGCUAAGUCAGACGUGAAAUCCCUCAGCUUAACUGGGGAACUGCGUCUGAUACUGGCGAGCUUGAGUGCAGGAGAGGAACGCGGAAUUCCAGGUGUAGCGGUGAAAUGCGUAGAUAUCAGGAGGAACACCGGUGGCGAAAGCGGCUUCCUGGCCCGACACUGACGCUCAUGUACGAAAGCGUGGGGAGCAAACAGG